rnacentral:rRNA from 1 species
CAAGUCGAACGAGAGGGCCCAUUGAUAUUUAUUGAAGUUUGGAGUGCUUGCACAAAGAAUGGAUUUAGAAGGAUUUGGAUUUUCCCUCUAGUGGCAAACGGGUGAGUAACACGUGGGUUACCUGCCUCUAAGUUGGGGAUAACAAUUGGAAACGAUUGAUAAUACCGAAUGUGCUCUACGGAGUAAAGAAGCCUUUAAAGCUUCGCUUAGAGAUGGGCCUGCGGCGUAUUAGCUAGUUGGUGGGGUAAUGGCCUACCAAGGCAACGAUGCGUAGCCGAACUGAGAGGUUGAUCGGCCACACUGGGACUGAGACACGGCCCAGACUCCUACGGGAGACAGCAGUUAGGAAUAUUCGUCAAUGGGGGAAACCCUGAACGAGCAAUGCCGCGUGAACGAUGACGGCCCUAUGGGUUGUAAAGUUCUGUUGUUUGGAAAGAAUGACUAGUAGAGGAAAUGCUAUUAGUUUGACGGUACCAUUCAAGAAAGCCACGGCUAACUACGUGCC